UUCUAGCUAUUAUUUCUACUUGCAGCACAUUCUUGUAGAAAUUAAAGUUUAAUUUUGCUUUAUUUUUGUUUCGUUUUUUUCGUUAUUCGUUGAUUAUAAUGGCAUCCGCGGAUCUAAUAACAGCGGAUAAGACCAGUACCAUUAAGGAGAUGGCGGGUGAUACCUAUAACUUCAACAUUUAUACACAGGAGGCAUCUGUUCAACUUGGAGAGAAGAACAGCAUUGUCUUUGAAACUCCAGAAGGAAUUUUAAAAACAAUUAAUGAGUUAAGGAGAGAGAUUAAGAACCUUAAAAAGAGUGACCAAAACAGGAAACUUCAACUUUCUCUUAUAAAACGAAGUAUUGAUCGUGUUGGGGUUAACGUCACUGUUAACAGGAACGCAAAACGUCCAAAGUAUAAAACAGAUGAUGACUGUCAUACAAAUGAAACAGAUGAGGAAUGGGGGAAUUGGGUUGACGAUGGUGAAUAUAGUAAUUAUGAAUGUGGUAACGAUAGUAAUGAGGAAUGGGAGGAUGGUGACGGCGAUGGUUACUAUAGUAAUGAUGAGGACGAUGAUGAGAAUAAUGUUUUUUGCCCUGAUCUGAACGAUAUUGAAGAGUAUGCGGAAAACGAUUAUGACGAAGUGAAUGGUGGUGGUGAUGAUCAUGAUGAUGAUGAGGAUGACAAUGAUGAUGGAGAGGAGAGGGAGAAAGAGAAGAAGGAAGAUAAUGGGAACGAGGACAUGGUCAGACAUAUAUAUGAUGAUUUCGAUGACAAUGAUUCUGAUUAUGAAAUUUAGACCAAUGGCCCAAAACCAAGCAGUAAAUGCAACGGUAACAGGGUCGCUGUUGUUAUCAACUAACACCUAGUGGUGGAACUCUACAUGGUAUCCCGAUCAGGUAUUAUGGUGGAGUAAUAAACACUCCAGAGCUCACACCUGGAACUACCUCUGAAUGGGAGAUGAAGUUCUUCUGUACUAUAUAGUACGUUCAAGAAAUGAAUGGAUUGUGCAGAAAAGAACGAUUGUAGUCCCAUGACGUGAAGACCAUUUAGGUUAAAAACGUCAGAAUUAUGGGCUAUAUUCCAGGUAACUGAUGGAAUGUAUUAAAUUUCGGGAUGGAUGUCCCUGAAAUUAAAGUUGAUACUUCCAAAUCAUAAGCGUAAUUGUGGUACGCGCAUUACGCUAAAUACCAGAUUGACGUUAUUGAAACUCGGAAUAGGUGUUGGAUAUGAUACAAGUUCUUUAUCUAAAUUACUUACGAUUUUAGAGAGAUAUGUUAGUAUACCUACACUGCUACAUUUUUAUUAGCCGGAUUGUACUGAAAAUUACAAAAGGCGUCCCUGGACAAUAGAUGUUCAAAAUAUAAAAGUGGAUAUAUUGUAGCACGAGUAUAAUAGUAUAGUAUAAUGCUACUAGUCCGAUUGUACGGGAACUCCGACAUGCUGACCGACAAGUAGACAUGCUUUGAGACUGAAAUGUCCCGGAAGUUUAAAUGUACAUUGAUACUUAUAAAUACUUCCCAAUUAUAGUUGACAUUACAACAGUCUAACUAUGCUGUUUUUCCAUGUAAUCAAAAUGGAAUUAAUGCAUUGAAAUAAAGUUCAAAUAUUUCGAGACCAUGAGCUUAAUUGUAGCAAACCUAUAUUCUACAUUUAAAUUGAAACUCGAGAUAGGUGACUAAAAUGAAAAGUUUAUCUAUGUUUAAUACUUACUCAUUAUUAUAGAUAUUGUGGCACACCCAAAAUGUUACAUUUUCCUAUAAUAGUUGAAGUAGUAUUGAAACCAGGGAAGUAUGUCCUUGAAAAUUAGAUUUACUUAAAAUACUAUACAAUGUCCCGAAAAUGUAUAUUUAUUCAAGUUUAAUACUUUCAAAUUAUGCAUACUAUUUUGAAUCGUAUUAAAACUGGGGAAUUGGGUCCCUUAAAUAUAAAUUUACUUAAAAUUAUGGGCGAUAUAGAUGUAACACAUAUGUUGUAUUAUAACUCCGGAUGGGUCCCUACUUAAAAUGUCCUACAUUCUGGGCAUUUUGAAGCAUACCCUUUAUUCUGUAGUUUACACAUAGGUGUAUUUACAAACAUUUUAAAUGCAAAUUAUGAGUGAUAUUUAUGUAACUCAUAGAUUGUAUUGUAACUCCGGAUGGGUCCCUGCUUAAAAUGUCUUAGAUUCUGGGCAUUUUGAAGCAUACCCUUUUUACUGUAGUUUACACAUAGGUGUAUUUACAAACACUUUAAAUGUAAAUUAUGGGUGAUAUUUAUGUAACUCAUAGGUUGUAUUCUAACUCCGGAUGGGUCCCUACUUAAAAUGUUCUACAUUCUGGGCAUUUUGAAGCAUACCCUUUAUACUGUAGUUUACACAUAGGUGUAUUUACAAACACUUUAAAUGCAAAUUAUGGGUGAUAUUUAGGUUGUAUUGUAACUCCGGAUGGGUCCCUACUUUUGAAGCAUACCCUUUAUACUGUAGUUUACACAUAAAUGUAUUUACAAACAUUUUAAAUGCAAAUUAUGGGUGAUAUUUAUGUAACUCAUAGAUUGUAUUGUAACUCCGGAUGGGUCCCUGCUUAAAAUGUCUUACAUUCUGGGCAUUUUGAAGCAUACCCUUUUUACUGUAGUUUACACAUAGGUGUAUUUACAAACACUUUAAAUGUAAAUUAUGGGUGAUAUUUAUGUAACUCAUAGGUUGUAUUGUAACUCCGGAUGGGUCCCUACUUAAAAUGUUCUACAUUUUGGGCAUUUUGAAGCAUACCCUUUAUUCUGUAGUUUACACAUAGGUGUAUUUACAAACACUUUAAAUGUCCUACAUUAUGGGCUUUGUUGAAGCACACACUUUAUGAUACUUUUUUAAAGUAACAAAUAGUUUGUAUUGUUACUCCGGAUGAGUGACCCAGAUUAAAAAUUUAUCUAUGUUUAAUACUUACUUAUUAUUAUAAAUAUUGUAGCACACCCAAAAUGUCACAUUUCCCUAUAAUAGUUAAAGUAGUAUUAAAACUAGGGAAGUAUGCCUCUAAAAAAUAGAAAUAAUUUAAAUACUGGAAUGUCCCGGAAAUUUAAAUUUAAGUUGAAUACUUUCAAAUUAUGAACGAUAUUUUAGCACGCCCAUACUGCUAUAUUUCCGUGUAAUUUGAAUAGUAUUAAAACUAGGGAAUUUUGUCCCUUAAAUAUAAAUUUACUGUAAAUGUCCUACAUUAUGGACUUUGUUACAGCACACAUUUUAUGCUAAUUUUAUGUGAUAUGAAAGCAACAAAUAGGUUGUUCUGUAACUCCGGAUUGUUGACCCAGGUGAAAAGUUUAUCUAUGUUUAACAAUUACUCAUUAGAUUUACUUUAAAUACUGAAAUGUCAUAUAAAUUUAUUUUGUUUUAAGUUAAAUACUUUCAAACUAUGGAUAAUAUUUUAAAUAUUAAAACUAUAGGGAAUAAAUGUAUUUAAAUGUCCCACAACAUGGGCAUAUUGAAGCACACCCUUUUUGCUAUAUUUUAUAAAGUAACCAAUCUGAUGUAUUGAAAUACUUUAAAUGCAAAUUAUGGGAGAUAUUAUAGCGCAAAAAUGUUGCUAUAUUCGAUGUAAUUUGAGUGGCAUUAAAGAUAAGGAAUUGUGUCCGGUAUAUUGAUUACUGUGGACUUCAUAAUUGUAGCACACAAUUUGUGCACCUUGUUUUUGUUUUAAAAAGUAAGCAAUGAAUUGUAUUGAAAUACAGGAUAUUUAUUGUCAUAAAAAAUCACUGUUAUCUUUAAUACUGAAACGAUGCCUUGCAAAACGGCAUAUAACAUGUAAUUUAAGUAACAUCAGUGUCUCGGUUUGACCAAUCAUUUUAUGCAUUGCAUAAUUAUAAAUGUAUGUUUU